GAUUGCAUUUCACAAGAAAGGCUAUAUAAAAAAAAGCUGUAGGUGUAAUGAGAACAAGAGUACGUGGGCGAAUGGAAUGGAAUCAGAAAAUAGAUUCUCAGCAGUGAGACACUUCAGUGACCCGAUUUUGAAAGGUGCAACAUCUGACUAUAAUAUUUAAAUCUGGCCCUACAAUGGCUCAGCGUAUUUUUCCCAGGAUCAGAAAACUUUAGAGGCAAAUGGAAAUGAAACAGAAGCAGACAUCACAUUUGAUGCAGUGAGUGUUAUGUGCUGACCAUCACUAAAAUUAGCCAAGACUGCUGCCAUUGACAGAACAGUAUAAAGACUACCUACUUCUACAACUUAGAAUAUGGGUGUUACGGAUAUAUUCCUAGCACAGUAUACGGAAAGAUACCAUCAUUAAGAAUGGACAAUGUGAACUCAUUAGAACUUUUAUAAUUGAACUCGGAAUCUUCACUGCAAGCAUUUCUAAAGUGGAUUUAACAAAAACCAUUCCACAAGCAUUAUUACUGUGUGAAUCCCAAAAAGUAAAAUACCCAGAUUGAAAAUAAUUUCAUGCCACAACAACUUCAAAUGAAUCGAGGUUGAGAUUUACAACAAACUGAUUCAUUCUUCUACCAGGUAACAAAGUAAAUAAGUGCCAUCAGUAACAAGCAGGACAUUUUGCCAAAACGUUUUCUGGGAAGCAUGGCAAUGAUUUGUGACCAAUCAUGAAACACACAUCUUUCAGAAAUAUUCAGGACUCUGGAAUCAAGAACAUUUACCAGAAACAGCAAAGUGCUGGCAAAUGUCUGCCCUCAGCUACAAGUUAUGGUAAUCCAAAAAAGGGCUGGAAUAUAAGAAAUUGAAAGUAUCUGAGAAAACAAUGUGACUCACUCAGCAUUGCUGACUUCUCCAGACAAAAGGUGAGUUUUAACUCAUAAUAUUACUUUUAGAUUUA